rnacentral:lncRNA from 1 species
UAACUGAAAUGUUUACUCGAUUCACAGAAAUCAUAAAUGGGCUAAAAAGUUUAGGAAAGUCUUAUACUAACUCUGAUUUAGUGCGAAAAAUUCUCAGGUCUCUACCAAGAGUUUGGAAGGCCAAAGUAACAGCAAUUCAAGAAGCAAAGGACCUCAAUACAUUGCAAUUGGAAGAACUUCUAGGAUCACUCAUGAUCCAUGAGUUGACCAUGAGGCAAAAUUCAGAAGAUGAGGUCAAGAAAAGAAAGACCAUUGCCUUGAAGUCCACUACUCCAAAACAGAAAACUGAAUCAGAAGAAUCUGAUGAUGAGGAGGAAUAUGAUGAAGAAGGAAUGGCUAUGCUUGGAAGAAAAUUCAGAAAAUUCAUGAGAGAAAAGAAGAAAUUUCAUAAAAGGAAGCCAAAGGACCCAAAAGGAACAUCAAUCACUAACCCUAAAGGACCCAACAUAGUUUGGGUACCUAAAGCUUAUUCUUGAUCUUGAUUGCAGGAGUGUCUUGCAGCUAAUAAGUGUUAAAGCACACAAUAGUUUUAGAGAGCCAAAAACAGCCUACCUCUCCUUUGGGAGUUGUACAUUAUAUAGAAGUUUACAAGCCUAAUAAUUAGGGAUUUACAGCUAGGGUACAGAUAGCUAGGGUGCAGAUAUGUAAUUUGCCAAAUAAGUAAAGAAUAUAUCUAGUAAUAAUAUAAAACUUAUUUAUANNNNNNNNNNNNNNNNNNNNNNNNNNNNNGAUUUUGUGCCAUAAAUUACUAUCAUUAACAUCCCCCCUCAAAUUGAUGCUGGGAGAUCGACCAGCAACAAUUUGCCAACAAGAAAUUGAUGCCGCUGCCUAGUCAUAGCUUUGGUGAAGACAUCAGCCACCUGAAGGUCAGUAGAAAUAUAAGGAAGAGAGAUCACUCGCCGGUCAAAGGCUUCACGAAUAUAGUGACAAUCGACCUCAAUGUGCUUGGUUCGCUCAUGGUAAACAGAUUGGCUGCAAUUUGUAUAGCACUAGUGUUAUCAACAUGAAGCGAAGUAGGAUGAUCUGGGGGAAAACCAAGCUCCGUAAGAAGACCACGCAACCAUACAAUUUCAGAACAAGCAGCCGACAUGGCACGAUAUUCAGCCUCGGUGGAUGAUUUGGACACACAAUCUUGUUUCUUACAUUUCCAAGAAAUCAAUGCACCACCAAGGAACAUACACCACCCCGUCGUAGACCGGCGAGUAUCCGGACACCCUGCCCAAUCCGCAUCACUAUAAGCCGUAAGUUGAGAGGAGAACCAGCUGGAAAGAAAAGCCCACGGGUAGGAGUUCCGCGCAGAUAGCGUAUAAUGCGACGAACGGCAGCCAAGUGAAGAUGCCGAGGAGAGUUCAUAAACUGGCUAACUGUAUGAACGGCAUAGGAGAUGUCUGGCCGAGUAAUAGUUAAGUAAAUAAGAGUCCCAACAAGUUUUCGAUAAAGAGUUGGAUCAGAUAGAAGGUCUCCUUCAGCCUUCCUAUACUUGACAUUCACCUCCAAAGGAGUAUCAAUUGAUUGAGUAUCCUCCAAACCAGCCAAGGUGAUGAGAUCUUGGGUAUACUUAUGUUGAUUCAAGAAAAUCCCAUUGGGUUGAGAAUGAACCUCCAAUCCCAAGAAGUAGGUGAGAUGACCAAGAUCUUUCAUAUGAAAAGAGUCAUGUAACAACUGCUGAAGCUUAGAAAUCAGAGCAACAUCAGUCCCAGUAAUGAGAAUGUCAUCCACAUAAACCAAGAGAAGAACCAUACCAGUGGAAGUUUUGUGGAAGAAGAGUGAGGCAUCAAACUGACUUUGUGUAAAAAAGAAGUUAAGCAGCGUACUGCGAAACUUUUCAAACCAAGCCCGGGGAGCCUGCUUCAGCCCAUACAAAGAACGCCUAAGCUUACAAACAUCAUUUGUAUAGGAGGUAGUCAUACCUGAAGGAAGCGUCAUAUAGAUAUCCUCCUUUAGGUCACCGUGAAGAAAAGCAUUUGUCACGUCCAUUUGGUAGAUCGGCCAAGAGUGAGAGGCUGCCAUGGCUAAAAUUGUGCGAACCGUGGUCAUUUUGGCAACAGGAGCAAAGGUCUCCUCAUAGUCGAUGCCAUAUUCCUGUUUGUUACCCAAAGCUACCAACCGAGCUUUGUAGCGAUCCAAAGAACCAUCAGAUUUCAAUUUAACAGAAUACACCCAUUUACUCCGAAGAGGUUUCACCGAAGAAGGACAAGACACAAUAUCCCAAGUGUGAUUCUCCUCAAGGGCGUGAAGUUCGGCUGCCAUUGCUUUCUGCCAACACUCAUGGUCCAUAGCCUGUUUAUAACAUGAUGGAAUGGAAAUAGAAGACAGUGUAGCUACAAGGGAGACAUGGGAUGAGAAACCAUACCGAUCAGGGGGUUUCAAAGGUCUGGUAGUGCGGCGAAGAGGGACUGGAUCAACCACUGAGUCUGAGGCAGAAUCAGGUUCCGUUGCAAGAUCGUGAGGAGGCCUAGAGGGAUCUGGAGGAAAACCAGAUAUUGUCCGAGGACGUCUCUCAUACACAAAACCAGGUUUAAACCUUUCUAUAUGCGCAGGGGAAUCAAAAUUAUGCAAAACAGAUAAGGAUGGAGACGGCGGCUCAACAUGAUUUUGAAAAAAAUACUGAUUUUCAAAGAAGAUUACAUUCCUAGAGACACGAAUCCUACGUGCACAAGGAUCAUAACAAAGAUAACCCUUUUGAUUUGUAGCAUAACCCAAAAAAGCACACUGGACAGAUUGAGCGCUAAGUUUAGUGCGUUCAGGAGCAGGAAGAUGUACAAAACAUACGCAACCAAACGUAUGAAGGUGAGAGUAAUGAGGAGAAUGUUUAAACAAAAGAUAGAAUGGUGAAGCAUUAUUGAGAGUAGGGGAAGGUAGCCUAUUGAUUAAAUGGACAGCAGUGGAAAGAGCUUCACACCAAAAACGAGAUGGGACAGAGGACUCAAGGAGCAAGCUUCUUACCACAUCUAGAAGAUGACGAUUCUUUCGCUCGGCAACACCAUUUUGUUGUGGAGUGAACGGACAAGAACGCUGAGAGAGAAUUCCUUUGCUUUGAAGAAGUGCCUGAAAUUUGGUAGACAUGUAUUCUCCCCCAGAAUCAGAACGAAAGACUUUAAUUCUGGCAGAAAAUUGAGUCUCUAGAAGAGCAACAAAGGUCUGAAAAACAGUAAAGACUUCAUCCUUAGAGCGAAGAAAAUAAAUCCAAGUAAAUCGGCUAUAAUCAUCUAUGAAAGUAACAAAGUAUUUGUAGUUAGCGUGGGAAACAACAGGGGAAAUCCCCCAAACAUCACUAUGAAUGAUCUCAAAACAGUGAGUUGCCCGAGAUGCAUGAGUUGGAAAAGUCAAAACUUUACUUUUACCCAGCUUGCAAGCCGUACAAUCGAAUUGAACAUCAUUAAGAGAAGAGGAAUCUUUAGUGCCUAGUAGACCAGAAUUGAACAAAGUGCGGAGUACAUGAGAAUUAGGGUGGCCAAGACAUCUAUGCCACCUUUGAUAAUCAGGUCUAACAGCAUUACAAGUAACAAAAGAAGGAGAUGCAACAAAAAAAGGUGGAGGUGUGGUGUGAAGAGGAAAGAGUCGUCCCACUUUAGGCCCCUUCGCGAUCAUUUUCCCGGAUACCUGAUCCUGCACAACACAACCAGCAGGAGAGAAAGUAACAUUGCAGUUAUUGUCAACUAAUUGACCAAUAGAAAUAAGAUUGGUAGUUAAGCUAGGAGACACAAAUACAUCAGUUAAGGAGGGAGAAAUAUCACCAACAGCCGUGAUAGGCAAAGAAGUCCCAUCGGCUGUGUGAAUAUCAAGAGGACCAGCAUACUUUUUCACAUUGGUAAGAGGAACAACACUGUUUGUCAUGUGAUUAGAGGCUGCAGAAUCAAAAAACCAGGGCAGAGAAGAGAUGAUUUUGUUACCUGAGAUCCCUAAGGCAGAAAAGGCAGAAACUAUGAUCUGUUGUACCAUUUCAGGAGUGAGAGAAGGCUGAUGUGGAGGAGCAGAAGGAAUGACCGGAGAGGCAGAACUUGAGGCACCAACUGAAGUAUGGAAAACACUCUCGUGUUUCUUGGGAGGCCGAGUGGGACAAUCUGAUAUGAUAUGCCCUGAUUUCUUACAAUAAUUGCAGAAUUUUCGUGAACAGUUUGUUGCAAUAUGACCAAAACCUUUGCAGCUAUAGCACUGUACAUUGCUCAUGUCACGGCCUUUCAACUUCCCUUGGGCUGCAUAAGCCACAGGUAUAGGGUUACGCGCAUGAUCUUGCUGGGUCAUGGCAGUUUGAGUGAAAAGGCGUUGUUCCUCACGAAGAAGCUCAUUAAAACAAGCAUCCAACGAGGGUACUGGAUCACGGUUCAUCAGAUUAGAACGUGCAGUGUCAAAAUCAGAUCUGAGCUUCAUCAAGAACUGAUCCCGCUUGCUGAUUUCAUGCACAGCUUGGACAGCAGCAAGUGCAUUAGGAGGAACAUUAGCAUAAACGAUAUCAGAGUAUUCAGUCCAUAGAUUUUGGAAAUCAGAAAAAUAUGCUUCAAUAGAGAGACUGCCAUGUGUGAAAUUUGCCAUCUCAUACUCCAGUUGAAAUCUCCUAGCUGUAUUACCUUGAUUAUAGACCCUUUUCAUGUAAUUCCACAUGUCCUUGGCAGUUUUAUACGGCCUCAGAUUAAGAAUAAUAUGAGGUUCAACCNNNNNNNNNNNNNNNNNNNNNNNNNNNNNNNNNNNNNNNNNNNNNNNNNNNNNNNNNNNNNNNNNNNNNNNUGUCUUCAGGGGCUGAAUCACUCCCAUCAAGAUGACCCCACAAUUCUUUCCCUUUGACAAAUAAUUGGAAUUGAAAUGCCCACGCCGAGUAAUUUUUCCCAGUAAAACGAACACAAAAAAAUUCUGACUUUUCAGAAUUCAUGAUGUAACCAGCAAGAAUGAGUCACAAGCUAGGUGGCAGGACAGAGAAGGACGCCAAUAUAACAAGACCAGCAAAUACCUGAACAAGUUUUCUCACUUUGGGAUCACAAGUGCUGCGCAAGACAAGAACAAAACUCCAAGACACUAGGGGAUAUUUUGCCUCGAUUGUAAUGUUGAGGCUCUAAUACCAAGUUAAAGCACACAAUAGUUUUAGAGAGCCAAAAACAGCCUACCUCUCCUUUGGGAGUUGUACAUUAUAUAGAAGUUUACAAGCCUAAUAAUUAGGGAUUUACAGCUAGGGUACAGAUAGCUAGGGUACAGAUAUGUAAUUUGCCAAAUAAGUAAAGAAUAUAUUUAGUAAUAAUAUAAAACCUAUUUAUAUUCCUAUAUUACUAUCAGCAGCUGGCCCUGAUUUUGUGCCAUAGAUUACUAUUAGAUUACUUCUAGCUUUAGAGUAUUUGGAUGUAGAUGUUUCAUUUUAAACAAUAGCAAGGAGGAUUUGAGUAAAUUUGAUGCCAAGUCAGAUGAAGGUAUCUUCUUAGGAUACUCUACAUCUAGCAGGGCAUACAGAGUGUUCAACAAAAGAACUCUAGUAGUUUAAGAGUCAAUUAGUAUCAUUUUUGAUGAGUCUGAUAGUGAGUCUCCUAGGAGAGAAAAUACUCUUGAUGAUGAUGCAGGAAUUAUUGACUUUGAAAAAUUGAAUCUUGAUGACGUGCCAAAUCAAGAAAAGAAAAAUGAUCGUGUGCCACCACAAUCUCAAGACUUGCCAACGGAAUGGAGGUAUGCAUAUGGACACCCUAAAGACUUAAUCAUUGGUGAUCCAUCUCAAGGGGUAAGAACUCGAUCCUCUCUUAGAAAUUUAAAUGACUAUCUUGCUUUUGUUUCACAAAUAGAACCUAAGACUUAUGAAGAAGCUGAAAAAGACAUAAAUUGGAUAAAUGCUAGGCAAGAAGAAUUAAAUCAAUUCAAAAGAAGUAAUGUAUAGACAUUAACUGAGAGACCAAAGCAUAACUCUAUAAUUGGAACAAAAUGGAUCUUUAGUAAUAAGUUAGAUGAAAAUGGGGUAGUUAUAAGAAAUAAAGCUAGACUUGUAGCUAAGGGAUACAAUCAAGAAGAAGGGAUAGAUUUUGAGGAAACAUUUGCUCCCGUGGCCAGAUUAGAAGCUAUUAGAUUACUUCUAGCUUUUGCAUGCUUCAUGGAUUUCAAAUUAUAUCAAAUGGAUGUAAAAAGUGCCUUCUUAAAUGGUUAUAUAGA